GAUGAACGCUAGCUACAGGCUUAACACAUGCAAGUCGAGGGGAAACGACAUCGAAAGCUUGCUUUUGAUGGGCGUCGACCGGCGCACGGGUGAGUAACGCGUAUCCAACCUGCCCACCACCUGGGGAUAACCUUGCGAAAGUAAGACUAAUACCCAAUGACGUCUCUAGAAGACAUCUGAAAGAGAUUAAAGAUUUAUCGGUGAUGGAUGGGGAUGCGCCUGAUUAGCUUGUUGGCGGGGUAACGGCCAACCAAGGCGACGAUCAGUAGGGGUUCUGAGAGGAAGGUCCCCCACAUUGGAACUGAGACACGGUCCAAACUCCUACGGGAGGCAGCAGUGAGGAAUAUUGGUCAAUGGGCGAGAGCCUGAACCAGCCAAGUAGCGUGCAGGAUGACGGCCCUAUGGGUUGUAAACUGCUUUUAUAAGGGAAUAAAGUGAGUCUCGUGAGACUUUUAGCAUGUACCUUAUGAAUAAGGACCGGCUAAUUCCGUGCCAGCAGCCGCCGUAA
rnacentral:rRNA from 1 species